UAGGGAAUCUUCGGCAAUGGACGAAAGUCUGACCGAGCAACGCCGCGUGAGUGAAGAAGGUUUUCGGAUCGUAAAACUCUGUUGUUAGAGAAGAACAAGGACGUUAGUAACUGAACGUCCCCUGACGGUAUCUAACCAGAAAGCCACGGCUAACUACGUGCCAGCAGCCGCGGUAAUACGUAGGUGGCAAGCGUUGUCCGGAUUUAUUGGGCGUAAAGCGAGCGCAGGCGGUUUCUUAAGUCUGAUGUGAAAGCCCCCGGCUCAACCGGGGAGGGUCAGUGGAAACUGGGAGACUUGAGUGCAGAAGAGGAGAGUGGAAUUCCAUGUGUAGCGGUGAAAUGCGUAGAUAUAUGGAGGAACACCAGUGGCGAAGGCGGCUCUCUGGUCUGUAACUGACGAUGAGGCUCGAAAGCGUGGGGAGCAAACAGG
rnacentral:rRNA from 1 species